AGGUGAAAGGUCAACUCAGCAGGAAACUGGGUAUAGCAUGAGAGCUUUUUCUUCUGAACACCAAGUCUCGUAACUGAGCCAGGACUUCUCUCUGGGAAGGAAGUUGCCCCAAAAUGGGAGGUCUGUCUGUCCUGUCCUGAAGCACAGUUGAAACUCCUUGUUAGCUGCAUUCACAGUGACUGACCAGCAGUGUGAGCAAAGCAAGGGCUCAAGGGAGACAUGGCUGAGACAGAGGCAAAGGGACCAUCACAGUCAUGGUGAGCUCCCAUGGAACAGAAAUGAUGCCUCGAUCUUUUAUGAUCCACAGCACUCUGCAAAUGUUUGUUGAAUUACAGAUG